GGUUAGUGCGUUAGGGAUUGCAGCGGUAUCCUUAUUUUGAAGUAUGAAAAAAAAGAUUUAGCGAAAAGCCCGACCUGCA
rnacentral:sRNA from 1 species